GUGGAUUAGAUACCCUAGUAGUCCUAGCCGUAAACGAUGUGGACUUGGCGUGGGUGGGUUGAAAUCCAUCUGUGCCGAAGCAAACGCGAUAAGUCCACCACCUGGGGACUACGGCCGCAAGGUUAAAACUCAAAGGAAUUGACGGGGGCCCGCACAAGCAGCGGAGCGUGUGGUUUAAUUCGAUGUUACACGAAGAACCUUACCAGGGUUUGACAUGCAAGUGGUAGAGAAGCGAAAGUGGAUCGACCCUUCGGGGAGCUUGCACAGGUGUUGCAUGGUUGUCGCCAACU
rnacentral:rRNA from 1 species